rnacentral:tRNA from 1 species
GUUGUCCGUAGCUUAGUUGAUUAAAGCGCAAGUUUGUGGCACUUGAGAUCGGGAGUUUGAAUCUCCUCGGACACCUA